GAUGAACGCUGGCGGCGUGCCUAAUACAUGCAAGUCGAGCGAACAGACGAGGAGCUUGCUCCUCUGACGUUAGCGGCGGACGGGUGAGUAACACGUGGAUAACCUACCUAUAAGACUGGGAUAACUUCGGGAAACCGGAGCUAAUACCGGAUAAUAUAUUGAACCGCAUGGUUCAAUAGUGAAAGACGGUUUUGCUGUCACUUAUAGAUGGAUCCGCGCCGCAUUAGCUAGUUGGUAAGGUAACAGCUUACCAAGGCAACGAUGCGUAGCCGACCUGAGAGGGUGAUCGGCCACACUGGAACUGAGACACGGUCCAGACCCCUACGGGAGGCAGCAGUAGGGAAUCCUCCGCAAUGGGCGAAAGCCUGACGGAGCAACGCCGCGUGAGUGAUGAAGGUCUUCGGAUCGUAAAACUCUGUUAUUAGGGAAGAACAAAUGUGUAAGUAACUAUGCACGUCUUGACGGUACCUAAUCAGAAAGCCACGGCUAACUACGUG
rnacentral:rRNA from 1 species